rnacentral:lncRNA from 1 species
UGUGGUGGUUUGUGUCACCAUGAAAAGCUGAUAUUCAGUCGUGUUUUUUUGAUAUUUUGUAAUCGAGUACCUUUUUAAAGGUCUAAUGGCUCCGAUCAGCUGUUGUGUGCAGGUGCAGACGGUGGAAAAGUUCAACAAGUAAACAUAUAUUUAAUCCAAAUUAAAUACUCAUAUUUCUAUGUAAAAUGUCACAUUAUUUUAUAAAUAAAUAAGUAAGAAACAAAA